ACAUGUAGGUAUCUGCCCUUUGGCCUGGAAUAACACGAGGAAACUUGUGCUAAUACCGGAUAAGUCUUUACGGAGAAAGCUUUAUGCACCAUUGGAUGAGCCUGCACUUGAUUAGUUUGUUGGUGGGGUAAUGGCCUACCAAGACUGUGAUCAAUAGCUGAUUUGAGAGGAUGAUCAGCCACAUUGGGACUGAGACACGGCCCAAACUCCUACGGGAGGCAGCAGUGGGGAAUCUUGCACAAUGGAGGAAACUCUGAUGCAGCGAUGCCGCGUGAGUGAAGAAGGCCCUUGGGUUGUAAAGCUCUUUCGUCGGGGAAGAAAAUGACUGUACCCGAAUAAGAAGGUCCGGC
rnacentral:rRNA from 1 species